rnacentral:lncRNA from 7 species
GCACACGACUAGGCUUCAAAAGCCAAAAGAUUAAAGUGAAGUAGUGAAAGACAUCAUUUUGGAGUCAACCACAUAAGCUUAACAACAAAUUCAAGAAUGAAUGAACUUCAUAGUUUAUCCACAAGCAGCAAGGACAUCUACAGGUAAAGGAAGACCUUCCCCAAAAAAGAAGCAGGAUUACAGACCUACAACACUCAAACAUAAAGAAGUACUGUUACUAGAGAAGCCCAGGAUGAGCUGAACCAGAGGCCCGAGGCCAUUGGUGGGAAUGUCAGAAGAUAGCUACAGCUACUCAAAGCCACAGAGACAGUGGCACCACUACAACCAAGCAGCAUGAUGCAUCAGGGUGGGAGUACUGUAAAAAGCUGAAGUAUCUUCAUAGGAAAUUUCAUCCUCUUGCUUUAUUUCUUAUAAUGUUAAGGUAUUGUUGUACCAUCCAUUUUUCAAGUCCACACUUCUAUUUUCAGUAACAGCUCACUGUUGUAUCAAGAUGUAUGAUAGUAUUGAUGUGAGCAUUUUAUUUUUGUCACUUAGCAUGUACGGUUCCCAUUGUAUGUACUAUGUCAAUAGCGAAAGUCUCUAGUUAUGUAAUUAUUUUAUAAAAAGUGAACCUUAGUAUAGUUUGUGGAGAGGAGCAUGCUAUAGUAGUAGAUAAAAACUUGAGGCUUUCGGUUGUUCUGUUUGGCUUUAGCAAGGUUCUCUGUACAGAAUGAUGGACUGUUGUCAAAAAGAUAUGUAUUUUUUUCCUGAAUAAUUUGAAAAAUGUAAGCAGGUUUCUGAUAUUCCCUUGGAGUUUCGUUUCCAUAAAUGUUAUUGCAGAUGCUGUUUCUCUUACUUAAUGCCUUUCAGUGCAUUAUCCUGUGACAUUCAAUGAUGUUACCCAGUGAAAAUGUAGUAAAACUGGUAUUAACCUUAAAAACCAUUGAAAAAUAGAAUUAAUCAACUGGGCAUCAAUGACACUGAUUACUUCUCAACAAUUUAUCUCUAGAUCAAAAGUAAUGAACUAAACAAUGAUUUGAGUGGGCUAGAAAGACUUGGUAAUAUGUUACAAAAGGUUUGUGCUACUUUUUGCAUAAAGAUUGCAGCUGCCACUUUCUGCACUGAGCUACCUAGUGCAACUGAAAUGUAUAUACCUCUACUCAGCACUGUAUCUAGGAGUCAUUUGAUUUGAUGUUUGAUUUCCAGUUUGUUGAAAUUCAGUGAUGAAUUGUAUGAAGUCACUAAAAUUCUCAUUUAAUCAUGCUUAUUUACAUAAAAAAUGUUUUCUUG